rnacentral:lncRNA from 1 species
AUUGUGCAGGAUCAACACCUACUUCGAAAUGGGACCUCACACUCCCUUUGGAGGCUACAAGAUGUCUGGAAUCGGUCGUGAAAUGGGCGAAGAUGGCAUCAUGGAAUACACCGAAGUCAAAUCGGUUGUGACAAGAAUUCCCGUGAAGAAUUCUUAAGCAAACGUUCUGGCCAUGCACAGCUGCACAACGCAAAGCUGCAACUAUGGGGAACUUUUGCACGAGGAUAUUGCAUUCGACGAUAAAAAAAUCGCAGUCUUGCACAUUUGCUAUCCA